rnacentral:rRNA from 1 species
ACAUACAACCAUAGCACCCUGAGAGCGCCCUAUCUCAUUUGAUCUGGGAAGCUAAGCAGGGUCGGGCCCGGUCAGUGCUUGGAUGGGAGACCUUGUGGCCAGGAAGCCAAUGGGACCUGGGGGGG